AUAAAAAUUUAAUCAGUUAAUGCUAAACUGAAAGAUAGAGGAAAAAGUCCUGGUUUAAUGUUUCUAUAUUUAAUUUAAUUAUAGACCUGAAAAGAAAACAGUAAAUACUACCAAUACGAGGAUUUAGUAGCAGUAUUUUAACACAAGAACCGUGAGAAUUCUUGUUUGACCGUGAUAAGCGGGUCGGACUGCGAUAGUUAAUGAUGAAGAUAAGUGUUCAACGAAUCGACCAUUUUUAUGUGUUCCAUAUCCGCUGGACAAUGAAUGUUUUAGAUGCAACGGGUCGACCAGGAUCUUUUUCGAUAGGAUACAUUGCCUAGCUGGAAUGCUAUUCACGUUCGGAACGUAUCACCUAGUCUCUGCCACGACGUCCACAAAUUUUUAAUUUUGGAACUCGAAAAUUUAAGACAUUUUAAAACAGAAUACGAGACUGAUAUUUCCGAAAUUAUUUAAUGAAUAUGUUUAUAAAAUCUAUUCGUUUAAAUUAAAGCGCAGAUAUGAAUCAUUGUCGGCGUGGCUGCUGAUGCAAACGAUGUAUUACAAAGCCUGGAACGAGUAUGCUGGUUUAUGGCUUAUGCGCCGCUCACAAUGUGCUAUAUGGAUAAAUAAUGAAGUAUUCUUGCGAAACAGACGAACCAGGACAGGACGCACCCUUUUUCAAUGGGCUGUCCACCAGAUGUGUGCACAUCCAUGUAAACUGCACUUGGUUUUUCCCAUUCUUCCCUUUUCUACAGAAAUUGUAAAACGUUUGUUUUGAAAAUGUUUAUUGGGAAGUUAAGCAUACCAAAUGGAUGAAGGGAUACAUUAGUUCAGUAAAUAUGUAACUGAAGAUUUGUUUAUGAAACAUAGUGCAAACAUUCAACUGUGUAAUGGAAAUGGACUAACUCUAUCCGUCCAGGUGCAGUUAACAGAGUCCCCAGAGAUCAAUAUGAUAGUAUUUCAGGAUAGUCACUAUUACUAAUAAAUAUAAGCACUGAAGUAUUGCCUGUUUGAAGACGAGAUUUCCCUAAGUCGAACCGGUGUUUUCACGAAGAAUGAUGGGUUCGAAGAUUGAAGGUUCAGUGGGUUAAGCUAGCAGAACGCUCGUGAGUUCCACUCAACGUAUAAUCCCGAUGGAGGCGUGCCUUUAAACAGAGGACUUCCUGUAUUCUCAACGCGUCCCGUACGAUUCGAGCCGUGAAUGUCGAUGUAAGAAACAGAUGCAAGAACCGUGGACGAUCGGUUGAGUCAAGCGGAUUUUUCAAUACAAUCAAAGAUCAAACAUAGUACAGUAAAUCGAGCUAAACGUGAGCUGUAUUUAACGCGAAUCACGUGGCUUCAUAUGACACGAAAAGGUGUUGCGUUUUUGAAUGAUUCAAUAGACCAGGAAGUAACGUAAUUGUUUGCAUAAUAGCGUUAUUAUCAAGUGUGACUCAUUUUGAAUUAUUUAUACAAAAUAGAGAUCGCUACUUUUUUCAAGCUCUGUUGACCCAACAGUUAGGUUCUGUACUUAACCUAAUUUGAUAGAAAAAAUAAACGAUGACCGAGUCUAUCAUCAUGCACAAUCCGCAAAUUAAGCAAAUAACAAUGGUCGAGUUAUACACGAUACAAUGUAUGGAAUGCGAUUAAAUUCUUGCAAAGCUGUCCAUCGUUUAGCAGAAAAUAGCAGAAGAACGCGGUCUUAUGGCUUUUCUCUGAAAGUAUUUGACACCCAUUUUCCGUGCCAAAUAUGCCAAGUUCAGCACUACAACGAUGGUAUCGAUUAUUUGUCGAUAACAGCUCUACUCUAGCGACGACACUUGGAUCACUGUAAACUCAAUAAGCCUGAGGAUCCAAAUCAGGGAGUGAAGGUACGCAAUGUACGUACUCUUGUUAGAUUGCAAUGGUCAACAAUGCAAAAGAGAAUAAGUAUGAACGCGUGAAGCAGUUGCAGGGAUAGAAGUAACUGGGCCACAGUGUA